UUGGUCUGCAUCUUCUUCAUCCUUUCUAGUUGUGCUUCUUGGCAAAGCGCAUGUUCCUCAGGAACUUGGGGUCAACCCCCUUAAGAGAUUUGUAUCUUUGUGACGGGGGUUUCUUGAUGCCGUUUCUGUGCCAUUUGCGGGACUGGUUGUGUGUGGUGAGGUUCUUGGACUUAGCCAUGUCUGUACCAUGACCCGCAGCACCUGGGACCAGAAGAGAAGACACAACUUGCCAUUUUUGAUUGGGAUUUUUUUCCCAGGUAAUUAUGACUUUGAUAAUGCUUUAAUAAAUUUUGGAUUCUGGGCCUUCUUUCAGAUGGAAGUUGCCACUCUCAGUGGGUCUUCGGGAGAUAAUUGUAUUGCUGCAAGUAUUUUAUUUCCCGGUGUUUAUAUCUUGGGGAGGCUUCUCACAGCUUCCAUUUACCAAAACUGAGAGGGCCCAGUUCUCUUUUUCUUUUUUUCUUUUUUAGUUUUUCAAGAUAGGGUUUCUCUGUGUAGCCCUGGGUGUCCUGGAACUCACUCUGUAGACCAGGCUGGCCUCCCAAGUGCUAGGAUCAAAGGUGUGUGCCACCACUGCCCAGCAGGAGGGCCCAGUUCUUAGCUGUUUGAACGUCUUUUCCUUAUGCUUGUUUGCCAUUGUGAGCACUGCAUUAUUUCUUCCAUCCAGUAGAAUCUUGAGGUUGCUGGAGUCGUUAUGUUUUUCUUCUUAUGACUGAUAGUUUUUAUUUUGUGAUUGACAUUGAAAUGAACUUAUACUGCAGACAUUGUCUGUUCUUGAUGGAUUCUGGAAUUCUUACCUUGCUCAAUGAAGAACAAGGUUACAAAACUUAUAAGUGUUUUAAAAUAUUUUAAAUUUAAAUCUCUUGAAAUUAUGCAAGUAGAAGAGUUUUGCCACUUUAAAUUAUUUUCUAAGAGCCCCUUUUAAUGAUAAGAAAAUUAUUUAUCCAGAACUUGAGAAAAUUUUGACACUUUAUUUUUUCAUGUUUUAAAAUUAUAAUUAAAUCCUUUCCUCCUCCAAGUCCCUGAACAUCAUGUAAAAAGGGAAGUUCUUAUGAAAAAGCAUCAGAAGACGAAAACAAACAAAUUGUCCCUUUUCUGGUAGAUAACAUUUUUUUAAAGGGCUAAUUUUUUAUUCAAAGAUUUAUUUAUUAUUAUAUCUAAGUACACUGUAGCAGUCUUCAGACUCACCAGAAGAGGGCAUCAGAUUUCAUCAUGGAUGGUUGUGAGCCACCAUGUGGUCGCUGAGAUUUGAACUCAGGACCUUCGGGAAAGCAGUCAGUGCUCUUAACCAAUGAGUCAUCUCUCCAACACCAGUAGAUAACAAUUUAGAGCUUCACUGACUAAAUUAAGUGUGUGGGAUUCCACUUAAUCUUCAGAGUUUGAUAGGAAUCUGUUGUGUGAAUGCAGAACAGUUUUAUUUAAAAUAAAGAACGUAUUGUUUACAUAUUAUGAGGAAAUACAGAGUGUCUGAUAAUGCCCUUCACUGCUUGUAUGGAUCUAUACUGUAAAGACAACUGCUGUGUUCAUGAAGAACACCCACUUUUAAUGUCUUUAUAUUAGAAGCACUUAUAUAUUUUAUGGAUCAUGGACUUUACCUCUUUAUUUUGAAGAAGGUAAGUUUUAGCUUUCAUAUUUAGAUGCACCAAAAAGAGUUAAAACAUUGCAGAUAAGAUGGUAGCAUGAAAUGAUUUUUGCAGAUUUUAGUUUUUGAAAUACAAAUAUUGUAUGGUUUUGAGAUGUCUUUCUAUUUUGAAUGGAGUGUUUAAAUGCUUGGACUUUCCAGUUCCUAAAAGGUCAUUUUGGCUGGAUAUGAAGUGCCAAAUCGAAGACCACCAUAUGGACGUGUGUUAAGGCCUUGAAACCCAGCUCCUCAAUGCUCUGCAGAGUUCAGACACCCAGUUUUUAUUCACCGGCCAUGAUGAUUGAGAUGACCACAGACCUUUUCAUUUAUCCACUCAGGAUUUUAUCUUCUCAAGUUCCCAAACUGUGUAUAUGUGUAUAACUAAAAACAAGUCAAAACAAAGCAAAAACUACACACAGACACACAGACACACACUUUAAAAUAUUAGGUAUUAUCUCUCCCAAAGAAAUCUGCAAGUAAGUAGUUUAUGUUCUUGAGAGAGAGGAUAGAGGAUCUUCUCGCUUGGUUAUCUCUCCCAUAGAUUUAUUGAAAGUUAGGGAUCAAAGAAUAUUAUGCCAAUUGAAAUCUAUUUGGAUAAUUGACCUAUUUUUAUGGUUCUUACUACAGAAUGGUCACUGGAAUGCUUGAAGUAGACAAGCCAUUUUAACCCACAACUUAGUAACUAGCCAGGAAAUCUCCUCUUAUUUGCAUAAAGAUAAUUUGCCACUGGAUAUUGCCAGAGAUUCAUUUGGCAUCUUUGUAGACCUUGAAAGGACUGAUAGAAAUGAUAAUUUUUUGAGGGCAAUUCUUCCAACUCAAGAAUAUAUUAGUGACCUUUCUUUAAAUCUCUGGUCAUCUAGAAAAGAUAAAAGACAAAAACAUGAUAUUUUUAGUAAACCAUUAAGGUAUUUGAGUUAACAGUUGGAAAAAACCACAAUAAUGUUAGCUGAUAACUCCAUCAUUUUGAUGCUAAUUUCAUGGCCGUUGAUUAAUAUUUAUUGGAUGAGUUCAUUUUGAGUAAUGAGGGAAUUAUUAGGAAAUUCUCAAUUUUGUAUUCAGUCUUUGAAAAAGGUGUGAAAGUAUAUAAUUAGUAUUUCCAUAAAAUUUAUAUUUUAGUGCAUAAUAAUAGGGUGAGUAGUUUGAGCUGUAAUUUAAAGGGAGCUUGCUAGCUACUUCAUAUGUGUUUUCAGUAAGCCAGCAACUUUGAAGGUGGUACUGUGUCCCCUCAUUGUAAGAUGAAGUGACAAACUUCUAGAUGCCUGAUGACAUUUGUUGAAACUUAGCUCAGAGGAUCAGACUUGGUUUGAACUGGGAUCUGUCUGUAACUAUGGAGAGAACAGUUUUCACGUCACUUUUUUUGCCUUCUAAAUUAAUGCUUAUGUUGUCUGGAAAAUUCACUUCUGAUGAACACUUUGCUUUCCCAAUGAUGCUGGUUAAACGAGGUGUUAGUAUAAUAAGGUGCUAAUUGAAUGGUGCACAGAGUAAGUGAAAAAGAAAUUAAAGAAGGAAAAGUCUGUGUGCUGAAGUCAUCAGGGAAACUGCUUGCAGUCGCUGUGGGACUUGGUUCAUUCAUUCAUGCCAUGGAAGGUUCUGAAUACUGACCUGGUAGGAAAUGUAGGGUGC
rnacentral:lncRNA from 1 species